GCUUCUGUAGUGUAGUCCGGUCAAACUUCUAAUAACUUUGUUUAAAAAGAUAAGGACUAAGCAUGCGAGGCUCUCACCCUCGCGACCCGGGUUCGAAUCCCGGCAGAAGCA
rnacentral:tRNA from 1 species